rnacentral:rRNA from 1 species
AUUGAACGCUGGCGGCAGGCCUAACACAUGCAAGUCGAGCGAGCGGCGGACGGGUGAGUAAUGUAUGGGGACUGCCCGAUAGAGGGGGAUAACUACUGGAAACAGUGGCUAAUACCGCAUACUAUCGGAUAACCCAUAUGGGAUUAGCUAUUAGGUGGGGUACAGGCUCACCUAGGCGACGAUCUCUAGCUGGUCUGAGAGGAUGAUCAGCAACACUGGGACGGAGACACGGCCCAGACGCCUACGGAGGCGGCAGUGGGGAAUAUUGCACAAUGGGCGCAAGCCUGAUACAGCCAUGCCGCUGUUAUGAAGAAGGCCUUAGGGUUGUAAAGUACUUUCAGCAGGAAGGCGUUACCCGCAGAAGAAGCACCGGCUAACUCCGUGCCAGCAGCCGCGGUAAUUC